UUUAAAAUUUAAACAGGCCGAGUUUAGUCGUGUUCAAAAUACUUCAAAUAAACAUAAUCAUGAACAAUAUUUUUAAGAUGAAUUCCACAAGACACUUGAACAGAAUUUCACCUGUUAAAAUUAAUUUUCGUCAAUAAAAUAUAUUAUUUAAAAAAUUUCCCAUAUAGUUGCAUCAUAUGAUUAAUACAAACUAUUAAAUAACAAUAUUAAUUAUUAGGUAUUCAUUACGAAUAUUGUUGAAUCCAAUUAAUAUUCUCUCUAGUUCAUGAUGGUAAUUUAUAUUCAAUUUUUACUUCAAAAUUAUUCUCAAAUUUAAUUAUUCAGUUUCAGUUCGUAUUCUCGAGUAGGUACACGAGGCUCUGAAAUUAAUAAACAUUAAGCAAUUAAUUUGUUCAGUGUGAAUAAGAAGUAAAGGAGCUUAUAUUUUUAACGACCAAAAAAUAGAUAAACACUUUAUGUCAAAUACAUAUUGAAUAAAUAUACGACAAACAUAUUCUACAACACAUCAAACAUUUUAAGGUAAUUAAAUAAUUCAUUUUAACAAUUGAUCGCACAAAUAUGUGGCUUUCGAUUUUCACGACGCUCUUAGUCGUUUUGGCAAUUUCUUCAAUAAUAUUAAGAAUCAAAGGUAGAAGAACAAGAAUGUUAGGUAACCAAAUACCAGGCCCGGAAGGAUCAUUUUUAGUGGGCAUGUUACCGUUGGCCAUACAAGGAUCGGAACACAAAAUCAAAAAUGCUCAAGUCAUAUACCGAACAUACGAAAAAUCUAUAUUUAAAGCAUGGUUGUUAAAUAAAUUAUACAUUAUUCUUACACGACCCGAGGAUGUUGAAUUCGUUCUGACAAAUCCGAAAUUUUUAAGAAAAUCCAAGGAAUAUAAGGUCAUGCAACAGUCCAUCAUGGGACAAGGGAUAUUUACGAUUGACGACAUAAAGAAAUGGAAGGUUAACAGAAAAUUGUUAACUAAAGGGUUUAGUUUUAAACUGUUAAAAGCAUUUAUACCGAUAUUUUACGAAGAAGCACUCGUCCUUGCUCAAAUACUCCGAGACAAAAGUGAUUCGACAUCGAAGGAAUGUGACAUCAGCGGUCCUGUCAGCAUGGCGACGAUGGAAAUGAUCGGAAAAACGGCUUUGGGCGUAACGUUUAACGCUCAAAAGGGCGGCUCCAAUCGAUUUGUCGAAAAUUUACUAACAGCCAUGCACACCUGGGAAUAUAGGAUUACGCAUCCGUGGUACUUGAGCAGUACACUAUUCCAAUUUUCGUCAAUUAAACGAAAACACGAUCGUAGCCAACAAAUCAUUCACGAGUUCACCAAUGAUAUAAUCAAAAGAAAAAUCAUCGAGUUAAAUAAAUCAGGAAGCGAGAAUGUCAUGAAUACAGACCACAACGAUUACGAAGACAUUGGGCAAAAAACGAUAACUCUCACUGAAAUUCUUCUGGAGAACUCUCAUGAAAUGUCUCACGAUCAGAUGCGAGACGAACUCGUAACAUUAAUGAUCGGAGGACAAGAAACAACUGCUUUGGUGAACGCUUGUGUGGUUUUUAUGUUAGCCCAUCAUCAAGACGUACAAGAUAAGGUGUUCAAGGAACUGGAAUCGAUAUUUUCGAACGGAGAUCGUAACAGACCGGUCACAUACAACGAUUUGCUUCAGAUGGAGUACCUCGAACGAGUGAUCAAAGAAACGCUCAGGCUUUUUCCCCCGCUGCCCGUGUUCGCCAGAGACCUGGCCGAAGACAUGACAAUCGGAGAUCACCUGUGCCCAGCCGACCGAUUACCGCAAACGGGUUUAAAAUUAUUUUGCCAGAAAAAAACCGCCGCUUUAAUCCACGAGACUUUAUGUGUGUAAUGACUACGAACAUAACGAACAUACUAAAUCGCAUUCAAACGAUUUGUGUCAGAUUAAUUUUUGGUGGAAACAAAAAUCGAACCCGUUUUUGAAUUUCGGACGGAAGCUGCGUCAUACGAAAUCGGCGGGCGCCACGCUGGUCAUCACCCCGCUGUUCUUGCAUUCGAGCCCGCAGCACUACGGCAACACGGCCCGUGGCCCGGACGAGUUCAACCCGGACAAUUUUUUGCCGGAAGCCUAUCGCCAGCGACACCCGUACGCGUACA
rnacentral:misc_RNA from 1 species